CCACACACACACACACACACAGUUGUGGUGUUUGCAUAUGUGUUCUGUGUCACUGCUACACACACUUUAAGAGCUGUAGUGCUGAUCAGAGUGUGUUCAGUCCUUUCAGAGCCACUGACACGCAGCACAAUGAUGAUGGUACUGAAUCUCCUGCUGGGGACACUGGGACUCCUCGCUCACCAGUCUUUUGGGGAAAUCGUCCUGACUCAGUCUCCAGGAUCUCAGUCUGUUUCUCCAGGAGAAUCUGUUACUCUCACCUGUAGUACGAGUCAGAGUGUUGGCAGUUGCCUCAACUGGUACCUGCAGAAACCUGGAGAAGCUCCUAACCUCCUGAUCUAUCACGCAACUACUCGUCAGUCUGGGAUUCCAGAUCGUUUCAGUGGCAGUGGAUCUGGAACACAGUAUAGUCUAAAAAUCUCUGGAGUUCAGGCUGAAGAUGCAGGAGAUUAUUAUUGUUAGCAGUGUAACAGCUAUCCGUACACACAGUGUUACAGCGUCGUAAAAAAACCUCCCUGAGCUGUAGAGGAAGUGCUCUGACUCAGAAACACACACUGAUCUGAGAACAGCUGCACAGCUGCUAAAGCUGCUAAAGCUGCACUCCACUGAACAUCAUCAAACAUCAUAUUUCAAAAAUAAUUUUGUUUCUGUAAAAACUUGUUUCUGUAAAAAUGUUUCUGUAAAAACUCUAGAGAUGGUUGUGUGUGAAAAUCCCAGGAGAUCAGCAGUUUCUGAAAAACCCAAACCAGCCCAUCUGAUACCAACAACCAUUUACUGUUAAAGUCACAGAGAUCAGACUUUUACUCCAUUCUGGUGUUCGCUGUGAACUUUAACUGAAGCUCUUCCCCUAAAUCUGCAUGAUUAUAUACACUGUGCUGCUGCCACAUGAUUGGCUGAUUGGAUAACUGGAUGAAUGUGCAGGUGAACACAGGUGAAGGGUCCUGAUAAAGUGGUGUAUAUCAUUUCAUCCAUACCUGGAAAAUGUCCCCCAACCAACCGAGAUAAAUAAAAGCAGUUAAAGCAGUGAAACUGAGAGAGAGAGAGA